rnacentral:rRNA from 1 species
ACGUUAGCGGCGGACGGGUGAGUAACACGUGGAUAACCUACCUAUAAGACUGGGAUAACUUCGGGAAACCGGAGCUAAUACCGGAUAAUAUAUUGAACCGCAUGGUUCAAUAGUGAAAGACGGUUUUGCUGUCACUUAUAGAUGGAUCCGCGCCGCAUUAGCUAGUUGGUAAGGUAACGGCUUACCAAGGCAACGAUGCGUAGCCGACCUGAGAGGGUGAUCGGCCACACUGGAACUGAGACACGGUCCAGACUCCUACGGGAGGCAGCAGUAGGGAAUCUUCCGCAAUGGGCGAAAGCCUGACGGAGCAACGCCGCGUGAGUGAUGAAGGUCUUCGGAUCGUAAAACUCUGUUAUUAGGGAAGAACAAAUGUGUAAGUAACUAUGCACGUCUUGACGGUACCUAAUCAGAAAGCCACGGCUAACUACGUGCCAGCAGCCGCGGUAAUACGUAGGUGGCAAGCGUUAUCCGGAAUUAUUGGGCGUAAAGCGCGCGUAGGCGGUUUUUUAAGUCUGAUGUGAAAGCCCACGGCUCAACCGUGGAGGGUCAUUGGAAACUGGAAAACUUGAGUGCAGAAGAGGAAAGUGGAAUUCCAUGUGUAGCGGUGAAAUGCGCAGAGAUAUGGAGGAACACCAGUGGCGAAGGCGACUUUCUGGUCUGUAACUGACGCUGAUGUGCGAAAGCGUGGGGAUCAAACAGGAUUAGAUACCCUGGUAGUCCACGCCGUAAACGAUGAGUGCUAAGUGUUAGGGGGUUUCCGCCCCUUAGUGCUGCAGCUAACGCAUUA